rnacentral:rRNA from 1 species
GGUUAAGCGACUAAGCGUACACGGUGGAUGCCCUGGCAGUCAGAGGCGAUGAAGGACGUGCUAAUCUGCGAUAAGCGUCGGUAAGGUGAUAUGAACCGUUGUAACCGGCGAUUUCCGAAUGGGGAAACCCAGUGUGAUUCGUCACACUAUCAUUAACUGAAUCCAUAGGUUAAUGAGGCGAACCGGGGGAACUGAAACAUCUAAGUACCCCGAGGAAAAGAAAUCAACCGAGAUUCCCCCAGUAGCGGCGAGCGAACGGGGAGCAGCCCAGAGCCUGAAUCAGUGUGUGUGUUAGUGGAAGCGUCUGGAAAGGCGCGCGAUACAGGGUGACAGCCCCGUACACAAAAAUGCACAUAUUGUGAGCUCGAUGAGUAGGGCGGGACACGUGGUAUCCUGUCUGA